AAUUUUGAUAAUUAUGUGCAAGGUGCCCCUUUGCGAGGAGUACUUGGCAGUUUUUAAAUGAAAGCUCUAUCUUUAAUAACAAAAAAGUUAUGCAAAAUUUUCGAUCUAAAAAAGUACAUGUUAAUUGUAAAAAACCGAAAUUUCGAUUUUUCUCAAAAACUAUAAUUUUUUCUAUUUUGAUAAUUACGCGAAAGGUGCCCCUUCGCUAGGAGUACUUAACAGUUUUUAAAUGAAAGCUCUAUCUGUAAUAACAAAAAAGUUAUGCAAAAUUUUCGAUCUAAAAAAGUACAUGUUAAUUGUAAAAAACCGAAAUUUCGAUUUUUCUCAAAAACUAUAAUUUUUUCAAUUUUGAUAAUUAUGUGCAAGGUGCCCCUUCGCUAGGAGUACUUGACUGUUUUUAAAUGAAAGCUCUAUUUUUAAUAACAAAAAAGUAAUGCAAAAUUUUCGAUCUAAAAAAGUACAUGUUAAUUGUAAAAAACCGAAAUUUCGAUUUUUCUCAAAAACUAUAAUUUUUUUAAUUUUGAUAAUUAUGUGCAAGGUGCCCCUUCGCUAGGAGUACUUGACUGUUUUUAAAUGAAAGCUCUAUCUUUAAUAACAAAAAAGUUAUGCAAAAUUUUCGAUAUAAAAAAGUACAUGUUAAUUGUAAAAAACCGAAAUUUUGAUUUUUUUCAAAAACUAUAAUUUUUUAAAUUUUAAUAAUUAUGUGCAAGAUGCCUUUUCGCUAGGAGUACUUAACAGUUUUUAAAUGAAGGCUCUAUCUUUAAUAGCAAAAAAGUUAUGCAAAAUUUUCGAUCUAAAAAAGUACAUGUUAAUUGUAAAAAACCGAUAUUUAGAUUUUUUUCAAAAACUACAAUUUUUUUAGUUUUUGAUUAUUACGUACAAGGUGCCCCUUUGCAAGGAGUACUUGGCAGUUUUUAAAUAAAAGGUCUAUCUUUAAUAACAAAAAAGUAAUGCAAAAUUUUCGAUCUAAAAAAGUACAUGUUAAUUGUAAAAAACCGAAAUUUCGAUUUUUCUCAAAAACUAUAAUUUUUUCAAUUUUGAUAAUUACGCGAAAGGUGCCCCUUCGCUAGGAGUACUUAACAGUUUUUAAAUGAAAGCUCUAUCUUUAAUAACAAAAAAGUUAUGCAAAAUUUUCGAUCUAAAAAAGUACAUGUUAAUUGUAAAAAACCGAAUUUUCGAUUUUUCUCAAAAACUAUAAUUUUUUUAAUUUUGAUAAUUAUGUGCAAGGUGCCCCUUUGCGAGGAGUACUUGGCAGUUUUUAAAUGAAAGCUCUAUCUUUAAUAACAAAGAAGUUAUGCAAAAUUUUCGAUUCAAAAAAGUACAUGUUAAUUGUAAAAAACCAAAAUUUCGAUUUUUCUCAAAAACUAUAAUUUUUUUAAUUUUAAUAAUUAUGUGCAAGGUGCCCCUUCGCUAGGAGUACUUGACUGUUUUUAAAUGAAAGCUCUAUCUUUAAUAACAAAAAAGUAAUGCAAAAUUUUCGAUCUAAAAAGUACAUGUUAAUUGUAAAAAACCGAAAUUUCGAUUUUUGUCAAAAACUAUAAUUUUUUCAAUUUUGAUAAUUAUGUGCAAGGUGCCCCUUUGCGAGGAGUACUUGGCAGUUUUUAAAUGAAAGCUCUAUCUUUAAUAACAAAAAAGUUAUGCAAAAUUUUCGAUCUAAAAAAGUACAUGUUAAUCGUAAAAAACCUAAAUUUCGAUUUUUCUCAAAAACUAUAAUUUUUUUAAUUUUGAUAAUUAUGUGCAAGGUGCCCCUUUGCGAGGAGUACUUGGCAGUUUUUAAAUGAAAGCUCUAUCUUUAAUAACAAAAAAGUUAUGCAAAAUUUUCGAUCUAAAAAAGUACAUGUUAAUUGUAAAAAACCGAAAUUUCGAUUUUUCUCAAAAACUAUAAUUUUUUCAAUUUUGAUAAUUACGCGAAAAGUGCCCCUUCGCUAGGAGUACUUAACAGUUUUUAAAUGAAAGCUCUAUCUGUAAUAACAAAAAAGUUAUGCAAAAUUUUCGAUCUAAAAAAGUACAUGUUAAUUGUAAAAAACCGAAAUUUCGAUUUUUCUCAAAAACUAUAAUUUUUUCAAUUUUGAUAAUUAUGUGCAAGGUGCCCCUUCGCUAGGAGUACUUGACUGUUUUUAAAUGAAAGCUCUAUCUUUAAUAACAAAAAAGUAAUGCAAAAUUUUCGAUCUAAAAAAGUACAUGUUAAUUGUAAAAAACCGAAAUUUCGAUUUUUCUCAAAAACUAUAAUUUUUUCAAUUUUAAUAAUUAUGUGCAAGGUGCCCCUUCGCUAGGACUACUUGACUGUUUUUAAAUGAAAGCUCUAUCUUUAAUAACAAAAAAGUUAUGCAAAAUUUUCGAUCUAAAAAAGUACAUGUUAAUUGUAAAAAACCGAAAUUUCGAUUUUUCUCAAAAACUAUAAUUUUUUUAAUUUUGAUAAUUAUGUGCAAGGUGCCCCUUUGCGAGGAGUACUUGGCAGUUUUUAAAUGAAAGCUCUAUCUUUAAUAACAAAAAAGUUAUGCAAAAUUUUCGAUCUAAAAAUGUACAUGUUAAUCGUAAAAAACCUAAAUUUCGAUUUUUCUCAAAAACUAUAAUUUUUUCAAUUUUGAUAAUUAUGUGCAAGGUGCCCCUUUACGAGGAGUACUUGGCAGUUUUUAAAUGAAAGCUCUAUCUUUAAUAACAAAAAAGUUAUGCAAAAUUUUCGAUCUAAAAAAGUACAUGUUAAUUGUAAAAAACCGAAAUUUUGAUUUUUCUCAAAAACUAUAAUUUUUUCUAUUUUGAUAAUUACGCGAAAGGUGCCCCUUCGCUAGGAGUACUUAACAGUUUUUAAAUGAAAGCUCUAUCUGUAAUAACAAAAAAGUUAUGCAAAAUUUUCGAUCUAAAAAAGAACAUGUUAAUUGUAAAAAACCGAAAUUUCGAUUUUUCUCAAA